GGAAAGAUGAAAAGAACUUUGAAAAGAGAGUUAAACAGUACGUGAAAUUGUUGAAAGGGAAACGAUUGAAGUCAGUCAUACCAACGGGAAAUCAACCUUUUGAGUUUGUUCUUGUGGGUUUCGAGGAGUUUAAAAGCCUUCGGAUUUGCUAGGAUUGGGCUCUUUUGGUGUACUUUCUCGUACGGUUAGUCAACAUCGGUUUUGAAUGUCAUAAAAUGACUGGAGGAAUGUGGCUUCGAUCUCGUAUCGAAGUGUUAUAACCUUUGGUAGAUGUGAUGUUCGAGACCGAGGAUUGCAACGGAUACCUUUCUGGGCUAUUCGUCUGAUCUCUGAUACGUUGCCUUGAUGUCGAAAGCGUGCUUAUGAUGUUAGGGUAUUACGGUCAAAAGGUUAGAACGGAUUAAAUUCGUUAAGGAUGUUGACGUAAUGACUUUAAACGACCCGUCUUGAAACACGGACCA
rnacentral:rRNA from 1 species